CUCCCGCGGCCCUAAGGUGCUGGCGGGCGUUUGGCGUUGCAGCUGUGUGGGCGCUGGUGCGUGCGAGUAGCGCUCGAAGAAACCCAAAGGCGUCGUGGGGCUGCCGUGUGCCCCAGAGAGCACUGCAGGCCGGGUAGGGGCUAAGGCUCCCCGCAGUCUUCUGUGUGUCGUCCAGUACGCAGUUGAAAUCGUUCUCCAACCUGGCCAGUCCUCCGAGGCCCUUCUCAGGCGACCAGACUCUGUUAACAGAGUCCAUUGCUAAAACUCCUCGUUAGUAUUUACCACUCCUCCAGUCUGUGUUUUGAAGCAGUGGUUUUCAACCACUGCCCGUUUUCAGAAGAAAUCAUCUCAAGCGUCCGUGUGCUGCUAGAAGCCGGGCCGGGAGGUCUUGGUGCCGGACUCCACCCUGCAGCCCUUCCCUUUCGCCACCGCCCUGUGCUUAGAGAAACCUUAGAGUGGAGCAAUGAGUCGCCCUUGACUGAGUAACUCUUCGGGGUCAACUUCUCCUUCCACGCCAAGGAAAGGAUUCCAGGGCGAUGUUUCUGGAAAUAGAGAUCUGACCAAGCCACUGCUCUGGUGAAAAUUCAGUGGGUCCCUAGCACCUAGUGCAGCGGCUCCUAGCCUGAGUAUUGCCGUCUUUCGGUGGGGAGGGGUUGGGUUUUUUUGUAGCAUCUGUUGAUCUGAUCUCCAACAUCCUCCACGUCAAUUCCCACUCCACCCACAUCCCUUAUCCUAUACGUAAGCUUUCCAGCCACGGUGCUGGCUUGGGUGGGGGUGCGUGCGGUGCUGACACCAAAAUGGAGGUCCCGUGUUUCUGAGAGUCUCUUUCAGAGCAAUGCAAACCUGAAACUACUCCUGCCAAGAAACGAUUGCAGCUCUUCCCGGAAAAGUUAAAGCCUUUGAGAAACAAAGCUGAGGUGGGUAACUUAAUUAAAAAAAUACAGAGAGGAGUUUCAAGUAGACUAAGUGGGAAGAAAAGGAAAGAGUCUUGGGUGGGGCAGGGAUUCAGGGCACCAGCUUCCUUAUCGCUGAGCCUGGGGGGUGGGGGAGGAGGGGGCAUGUGUUGUCACGGGAGGCAUUGAUAGAGCAACCUCCUUCAGGGAAAGAAAAAUGGAGAUAGGAAGCAGAGUGAGGAAAGGCCACAGUGGAGUCUGAGGGCUUCGGGGUGGACUUCUGGCAGGAGCCUUCUCCAGCCAUGGCUUUAGGGCUGAUAUGGUUAGGUGCUUUGUGUCCCCACCCAAGUCUCAUCUUAAAUUGUAAUCCCCAUAAUCCCCACGUGUCAAAGGAGAGACCUGGUGGAGGUAAUUGAAUCGUAGGGGUGGUUUCCACCAUGCCGUUCUCAUGAUAGUGUGUGAGUUCUCAGGAAAUCAGAUGGUUUUAUAAGGGGCUCUUCCCCCAUCACUCCACACUUCUUUCUGCUGCUUUGUGAAAGAGGUGCCUUGCUUCCACUUCUGCCGUGAUUGUAAGUUUCCUGAGACCUCCCUAGUCAUGCAGAAUUGUGAGUUAAUUAAACCUCUUUCCUUUCUAACUUACCCAGUCUUGGGUAGUUUUUUGGUUUUGUUUUGUUUUGAGAUGGA
rnacentral:lncRNA from 1 species